AACGCGAAGAACCUUACCAGGGUUUGACAUCCUGUGCUCGAUCCAGAAAUGGAUUUUCCCCGCAAGGGGCGCAGAGACAGGUGCUGCAUGGCUGUCGUCAGCUCGUGUCGUGAGAUGUUGGGUUAAGUCCCGCAACGAGCGCAACCCUCGCCUUUAGUUGCCAUCAUUCAGUUGGGCACUCUAGAGGGACCGCCGGCGGCAAGCCGGAGGAAGGUGGGGAUGAAGUCAAGUCAUCAUGGCCCUUACACCCUGGGCUACACACGUGCUACAAUGGCGGUGACAAUGGGCAGCGAGCUCGCGAGAGUCUGCUAAUCCCAAAAAACCGUCCCAGUUCAGAUUGCACUCUGCAACUCGAGUGCAUGAAGGUGGAAUCGCUAGUAAUCGCAGAACAGCAGGCUGCGGUGAAUACGUUCCCGGGCCUUGUA
rnacentral:rRNA from 1 species